rnacentral:rRNA from 1 species
ACCAGACUCCUACGGGAGGCAGCAGUGGGGGAUAUUGCACAAUGGGGGAAACCCUGAUGCAGCGACGCCGCGUGGGCGAAGAAGUAUUUCGGUAUGUAAAGCCCUAUCAGCAGGGAAGAAGAAAUGACGGUACCUGAGUAAGAAGCACCGGCUAAAUACGUGCCAGCAGCCGCGGUAAUACGUAUGGGGCAAGCGUUAUCCGGAUUUACUGGGUGUAAAGGGGGCGCAGACGGCGAUGCAAGCCAGGAGUGAAAGCCCGGGGCCCAACCCCGGGACUGCUCUUGGAACUGCGUGGCUGGAGUGCAGGAGGGGCAGGCGGAAUUCCUGGUGUAGCGGUGAAAUGCGUAGAUAUCAGGAGGAACACCGGCGGCGAAGGCGGCCUGCUGGACCGUGACUGACGUUGAGGCUCGAGAGCGUGGGGAGCAAACAGGAUUAGAUACCCGUGUAAC